AACGAACGCUGGCGGCAGGCUUAACACAUGCAAGUCGAACGCAUCCUUCGGGGUGAGUGGCAGACGGGUGAGUAACGCGUGGGAACGUGCCCUUCAGUUCGGGAUAGCCCAGGGAAACUUGGGCUAAUACCGGAUACGUGCGAGAGCAGAAAGAUUUAUACGCUGAAGGAUCGGCCCGCGUCUGAUUAGCUAGUUGGUGGGGUAAUGGCCCACCAAGGCGACGAUCAGUAGCUGGUCUGAGAGGAUGAUCAGCCACAUUGGGACUGAGACACGGCCCAAACUCCUACGGGAGGCAGCAGUGGGGAAUAUUGGACAAUGGGCGCAAGCCUGAUCCAGCCAUGCCGCGUGAGUGAUGAAGGCCUUAGGGUUGUAAAGCUCUUUUAACGGGGAAGAUAAUGACGGUACCCGUAGAAUAAGCCCCGGCUAACUUCGUGCCAGCCGCCGCUAUAA
rnacentral:rRNA from 1 species